UACCCACCUCUUGGGCAGCGACAGAGCCGACACUAUGGCCUCCGAGAUCCCUUCAGCCUCCUCUCUCGUGAGUAGAACCCCACCCGAAUGAUGAAUAUACGAAAGUCGUCAAUAGGAGAGGCGUGAACCGAUGGGUCGCAAAUGGCAUCCGUGCUAUUGACCAUGUGGUCUCCACGCAGGAAGGGCCAGGAGAGCAUGAUCCCUUUCCAGGAGAGUUACGAGAUUGCGGGUGUGGCCUAUACCUGGCUUGACAGAGUGCUGCAAGACUUGGGUCGAGUGCAUGGCGUAAUUACCCGCUUGUCGGGUUGGGAACCUUGGUGGAUGUCGAGGUCCACCGCUACUCGGCUGUAGCUCCACGGUUUGGAAGGGCAGCUACACCUGAGAACCCCUUCUAGUCGGACAAUAGGGAUCUCAUUGAAAAUAGGCAACUCGCUGCCGGGAAGGUGAGCCGUGGCAGCCUAGUGAUUCCGGCUGAAAGCAGAGACGAGCUGCCCACUCAGAACGUCAGUUCGAGGGAAGACGGAAACGUGAGCUCCUGGUUACAGGCAGACCGGGCUCCUUUGGAAACGUGCGGAGGCAAUGGAAAACCCUCCGGAUGCGGGGUAUCUUUGACAGAUGGACUCUGACAGGGAACCGGGCGCCCAGACUGUGUUCCAAUCUUAGGCUCGAGAAGGUCUCACCAUAGAGUGACUACCGAGCCCGGGGGGGCCUUCCCCCGGAAGAAGCGGAAGGUGGAUUCGACGCGUCCUUUCCGGGUUUCGGUUAGGGUCCCUUGUCAUUUCGAAGUAUCCCAGAAAGACAGGUCCACGUCCAUCAGGCGUAGAAGUGUCUGUACAGAUAAAGUGGCUCGGAGAGAGGCUCUGUCACGGGUCUAGCAAUGCGGAAAGCACGCCCAGCCUUGAAUGGGCUGUUCCUUAAAGCGAUGGAAUCCUGGCAAUAUCAAUGCCGGCGGCAAGUGGCCCCGAAGCCAGCGGCCGAAGGGACAGUAGUCAAGUGGUUGAAGGAACUGGAAGGCCGUGGCCCGUCCGCAGUCGGGGGUAUGUACCAGAAUGCUGAAACGCCUCUGGACACAAAAACCAUAAGAGAUGGAUGGGUGGACACAGCCAAAGCCCAUGUCCAUGGGAAAACAACU
rnacentral:rRNA from 1 species